rnacentral:rRNA from 1 species
UACGGAGGGUGCAAGCGUUAUCCGGAUUUACUGGGUUUAAAGGGUGCGUAGGCGGGCUUUUAAGUCAGCGGUGAAAUCUCCGAGCUUAACUCGGAAAUUGCCGUUGAUACUAUUAGUCUUGAAUUAAGUUGAGGUGGGCGGAAUAAGUCAUGUAGCGGUGAAAUGCUUAGAUAUGACUUAGAACACCGAUUGCGAAGGCAGCUCGCUAAACUUAUAUUGACGCUGAGGCACGAAAGCGUGGGGAGCGAACGGG